rnacentral:rRNA from 1 species
GACGAACGCUGGCGGCAUGCCUAAUACAUGCAAGUCGAGCGAACAGAUGAAGUGCUUGCACUUCUGACGUUAGCGGCGAACGGGUGAGUAACACGUAAGGAAUCUACCUAUAAGCGGGGGAUAACAUUCGGAAAUGGGUGCUAAUACCGCAUAAUAUCUUCUUCCGCAUGGAAGAAGAUUGAAAGACGGCUCUGCUGUCACUUAUAGAUGACCUUGCGGUGCAUUAGUUAGUUGGUGGGGUAAUGGCCUACCAAGACGAUGAUGCAUAGCCGACCUGAGAGGGUGAUCGGCCACAUUGGGACUGAGACACGGCCCAAACUCCUACGGGAGGCAGCAGUAGGGAAUCUUCCGCAAUGGGCGAAAGCCUGACGGAGCAAUGCCGCGUGAGUGAAGAAGGCCUUCGGGUCGUAAAACUCUGUUAUAAGGGAAGAACAAAUUGUAGAGUAACUGCUACAGUCUUGACGGUAUCUUAUCAGAAAGCCACGGCUAACUACGUGCCAGCCGCCGCAGUAA